UUUAUGCGCAGGUUGCAAUCAGCUAGUAGGGCGAUUGGCAUCGUAUAAGUGUUAAACCUGCGUUUCCGAGUAUGAAGAUGUUAUGCGGAGGGAAGAUUCCAUCAUGAGGGUUUAAUUUACUUGCAUGCUUCCUGAUUGCUUCCUGAUUGCUUCCUUCAAUUUUUAUGGAAGUUGUACCGAUGUGGAAGAUUCACAUACAUCGAAAUAAUAUUUGGGCCUUCUCAUUCAUUCUGAACCACUCCUUGCCCUCUGGAUCUAGCAUAAUAGGUUAGUGAGGCCCACUCCAGCCUUUCACACAAGUGUGGGUAAGAAUUUCCGUGUAAAAAUGGAAGGUACCAAUUACGAAACAGGUCAAACAAUCGCACGCUAAAGAAUGAACUCAGAUGAAGGUUGCAGUAUGCAGCAUCAGGGCAGUUUUAAAACGUCAUCCACCUAGAACAGUUCUUCAAAACCCUCUAAUCGAGGCAGUUCAAGAAAUUUUUUUACCAAGAACACUUCAACGUGAACCUAAAAUUCGAAUAGUUUACAAAAUCUCUUAGAAACAAGGCAAGUAAAAUAACUCUGCAGGAAUUUCGUGCCUGUCUUCUUAUUUGAAUAAACAUCGUUUUCACUGUAAUGAUCAAUCACCAAAAUUUCGAUACAACUAAAAUUGAAUGAACCUUAUCAUCGUGUUAAAUCUAUAUUGUGAAUUUACCAAAUUAAUUACCUUCAUAAGGACUAAAUCAAACUGGAAAAUUUACUAAACUAUCUUCGUACCGAUAUUAGUAUAUCCGUUAGCGUCCUAUCUGGCAUUGGUUAAUUCUUUUUCUCUACUUUACCAUUUUCGCAAUUGCAAUUGCAUCAUUCAUUAGUCCACCGGCGCCCUAUUUGGCCUGGGUGAAUUAUCCUUCUUUCAUUUGAAAAACCUUCCACAAAACCCCACGGUAGAUGCCACAAAGCUAGAUCUGAACAGCUAAGAAAAAGAGCUUAUAAAUAUAUACAUAUAAAAGUGGAUUUUCUGAAGAUUUUACAUAUUCCUUGCUGUUUUAAAUUUCUAUACUUUCUGUCAUGCCGUGAGCGGAGUUACUGUCUUAGGGGUAGGAAAGAGUCAGUCUUCCAUUAUUGGUUAAUUUUUGUCUGGUUGGAUAUUCGGGCACUGGUCUGUCUAUAUAAGUCUGUUUCAUUGAAAAAUUUCGUAUUAUUACUUUGAAUGUCAAGUAAGUCUUGAGCAUCACGUACCGCAAUCACGAGAUCUCCCUUCCUGUCAUUCUUUGUCAUAGAGACAGCCAAGUAUCCCAUGUACAAACGUUUCUGGGUGAACUCGCUCAUGUUGCUUUGGCAGAAUUUGAUUUUCCCAGACUGGAUGAGCCUGCGCAAAUCUGCCAUAGGUAUGUUGUGUUUUUGCAUAGAGUACUGUUCUAGUUACUAUAUUUAUCUCACUUAUUAUGUGUGUUUUAUUAAUACUCCGAUUCAUUUUGCUAAUAACGUACACGUUUUACUUCGUGACGAGUCCAUCGAAGCUUCGAGAUAUCCUGCUCAGGUUGCAUCAAAAAUGAACCUUGCUAUUCAUGAGGUUACGUUGUUUGACCUUGAUAAAGUUCAGUGCUUAGUGUCUGGCGCUUCGAACUAUGAAUCCGAAAUGUAUGUAUGGAAUUCAAUGGCUUACGGAGGAACGAUGUGGCGAAGAAGCUCCCGUCUAGAAUUAAGUCUAUUCCAUUUUGCCAAUCCCCGAUGGGUUUUGGAUUGAUUACAACCCCAAUUAUUGAUUGAAUUUAGUAACGUUGAUCAAUCGAUGAUUUUUGAAUUAUUUUCAGUUGGCAUUCGCGGUCCGCUGCCACCAUUUUAUUUAUAAGUAGAUCAGUUACGUUCUAGAAGGAACAUUGCGAGUUAAUUCUGAUUCGCUGUCUGAUUUAGUUACACCCUUGACUUACGUAGCUGAUGGUAUAUGAAUCUGGGAAAUCUGCUGAGCAGCUCCUUAGGACUUCUCGGUCAGCUCAAUCAAAGUCUAAGUUUGUCAAGUUUUGGGGAGAGCCAACGAUCGUUACGGGCGAUUGAACCAAUAAUCGUCAUACGUUUCCCUGAAGAGGUUCGUGAAUAUAAAGGACAUCGAAGAUAGGCGCUACACCAAGUCACUUAUCCGGAGUGAAGCUAAUGGUUUCGAAAGAUCGGGCCUACAUCUUUGAGAUUCGCAGGAUGCAAUAGAUUAUUGUGGAGUUCGGUGGCUCGUCGAAAGAUGGUAAUGGGGAAGAGUCCCCGAUUUAUAACUGGAACCAGGUGGAUCGUCAAGGGCCCGAAGGAUUGUGGGCAGUUUAUAAUCCAAAUUAUGAACAUCACUUCAAGUUGCAAGUUUUAUUGUAGAAUUUGUCAAACUUUUACUUGCUUUCUUUGCAAAAUAUAUAUUUUAACAUUUUUCUAUAUUCAAUUGUCUGAUUGCUUUUUUAUUUAUAUAAGUGAAUUGAUAGAUUAUCCGCAUUCGCGUCUGGUGCGCUCCCACGAUGUAAAGUGUAGCGUAAGAGGAUCUCGUCUCUCUUAAUCAAAGAAAGAAAACGGCCUAAGUUGGGACCAUCCAGGGAAGGCCUAGGUUGCCUCCUUGCAUGAACUCAGGGGGCUAUGCGGCUGUCCACGGCAACGUGUGUGGGAAAUGUGGCGCACUGUCUGGUCCUCAGAAAACACUGGACUCAGGGUACAUAGAAAAGAGAUCUCAAAGACAACGGUUGUGCAUGCUAACUCAAGUCUAUUCAAUUCUUGCACUGAAAAAAGAGUGUUGUUAUAACAAAUAAAUAUAAUUCGUUGACUAUUUUGAGAAAGCAUUUUUAACUGUUGAAAAAAUUAUUAACGUGCAAUAAACAUGUGUGCUAUUACAACUACAAUUGAAAUUUUGUAGUAUUGGAAGCAAAUAGAAUACUAACCUCUCACAAAAAUACGUUUAUUAUUGAAAACAUAAUAUAAAAUUGUAGCAGGCAAAGUCAGAAUUGAUUAAAAAAAAUUUCUCUUUGACCAAAAAGUUAGCACUAAUUUGAGGGAAUUUCAUUCGUUGUUAUUUCGAAUGAAGAUUUAUUAACAGUUACCAAAUCUUGUUUGAGGAUUCGAAGCUCGUAAACCCACUAAUCGCACGUUCCAAGCAGGUUCUUUACAUUUUACACGCGGUUCGUAGGCCGAGCGGUUGACUUAUAAUAAAAGCCAGUGUGACAGUCCAACAGUAAUGUUAUGCAACUGAUAUUAAAAUGUUAGGGCUUAUCCGACCUUCUCCCAUUAUUUAAAUGUUGGUGCAGUGGAUUUUCAUAGAAUUCGUUGGCUCCUCGAGGGCAUAUAUGAAUUUGUAACUUCGUUCAAUAGUAACCUAAAAUAUAUCUUCAUUAGACAUUUAAUUGUAUCUUGUUUUGUGUGUUAGAAUUUAUUAUCCUUCCCAUAAAGUAGUCUGUAAGUGAGUUUGUAAGUUAUUUUCAGACUUUGGUCCUGAUUUAAUAGUAUCCUCUGACGAUUGAGCUACUUGGUUUUACUGAAAUUUUCAUUGCUCAACGCAAGUGAAUCUUUCGUUAUGGUCCAGCAUCCACAAAAACAGAAGGAACCAAAUGGGAAGUACGUUGGUAAACUGCACGUUAAAGAACAAACUCUAAAAAAACGUUUCACUGUUCAAAAACGGGGCAGGUUUUUUAAGCCUUUUUGGCAAGCGGUUCAAAACCAUUUUUUCACUAGAGAAGUUAAUUGUUAUAAAAUCUCUCAAAUCGGGACAAAUUCUUUAAUAUUACUGAAGAAAUUCCAUAUUUCUCUUCUUUUGAAGAAUAUCAUUUUCAUAUUAAUAUUAAUCAUUCUAAUUUUAUUUCAACUGAAUUUGAAGAAACGUCAUCAUUAUGUUUAACUUUUUUUUUAUUUGUGAGUUUAAAGACAGAGAAAUAAAAAAAAUCAUAUCUCUAAGCAGUGAAGAUUUUAAAGUGAUUGUUAAAUAUUUCUCAUUUCUUUGCUAUUAUGUAUACAUGCAUAGUUUCUACCAAUGUUCGAAAUUUUGACGCGAGUUUCUGAUUCUAAUUUCGAUAAUAUUAUUUUCCGUAGUGUUUCUUAAUCAGGUGCUAAGUGUAUAAUCUGAAUUCAAAUUUUGUCUUUGUGUUAGAGGAAUUUUAUUGUGCUAAGAGACGAUUCAUAUAUAUUGGAGAUAUGUGUAUAAUCUGAAUUCAAAUUCUGUCUUUGCGUUACAGAAAAUUCUUUUCUCCAAGAGGUUCGCACACUUCGUGGAAGGCCGCCGACUUUGAGAUGUCGCGACUUACGUCGGGCAAGGAGGGAUCGAUUUCUACGUGAUUCGUUGGCUCCUUGAGGGCAGAUGGCGACAUGAGUCGCACACCAACGAUUGGGAUCACCCUGCUUGGUACUCAACGAGGGAACUGUGCGCAGCUUAGGACGAGGAUUAUUAGUCUGGCACUUCAAUUGUUGGUUUUAUAAAAUACAUGUCCAGUCGACAUUUAAUUGGA